rnacentral:rRNA from 1 species
GACGAACGCUGGCGGCGUGCUUAACACAUGCAACUCGAACGGAAAGGCCCUGCUUUUGUGGGGUGCUCUAGUGGCGAACGGAUGAGUAACACGUGAGUAACCUGCCCUUGACUUUGGGAUAACUUCAGGAAACUGGGGCUAAUACCGGAUAGGAGCUCCUGCUGCAUGGUGGGGGUUGGAAAGUUUCGGCGGUUGGGGAUGGACUCGCGGCUUAUCAGCUUGUUGGUGGGGUAGUGGCUUACCAAGGCUUUGACGGGUAGCCGGCCUGAGAGGGUGACCGGCCACAUUGGGACUGAGAUACGGCCCAGACUCCUAAGGGAGGCAGCAGUGGGGAAUAUUGCACAAUGGGCGGAAGCCUGAUGCAGCAACGCCGCGUGCGGGAUGACGGCCUUCGGGUUGUAAACCGCUUUCGCCUGUGACGAAGCGUGAGUGACGGUAAUGGGUAAAGAAGCACCGGCUAACUACGUG